UACGUAGGGGGCGAGCGUUGUCCGGAUUUAUUGGGCGUAAAGGGCUCGUAGGCGGUUUGUCGCGUCGGGUGUGAAAUCCACUGGCUUAACUGGUGGCUUGCUUUCGAUACGGGCAGACUGGAGGUAUGCAGGGGAGAACGGAAUUCCUGGUGUAGCGGUGGAAUGCGCAGAUAUCAGGAGGAACACCGGUGGCGAAGGCGGGUCUCUGGGCCACUACUGACGCUGAGAAGCGAAAGCGUGGGGAGCGAACAGG
rnacentral:rRNA from 1 species